UCUUCUAUUAGUACAUUUCUGUCUACCUCUCUAUUCAUGGAGGUUUCGUGAUUGUUCCUAUCAGUUAAUGUCUCAUUCUAUUUUUCCAAAUCCACAGUACUGUGCGAGGGUGGCUUACCACUGCCCCUGGUGCACCGGUAACUCAUUGGUAUCAGUUGCGUUGUGUUCUCGAGCAGCCAAUUUAUGUCAUGGCAGGACAAGAAAUUACUGGCAGGCUGCACUUGAUUGCCCACAAUGCACAGAGUUAUACAAUCUAUUUAACUUUGUCAGGUUGGUAAAUUUCUUUUUUCUUUUCUUUCCUUUCUUCUAUGUAUGCUAUUCUUGCACAUUUAGUGGAUCAAUGAAUUUCAAUUUGCAUUUAGCUAAAAUGUGGGGGCCUGGCGCUGGACAAGGAGGGAUUCUUCAAACAUCAUCCUGUAAGCUUGACCUGAAAGAACCGUACUAUAGAAUGUCUCAACCCCAAGCUUAUGCAGUAAACCAAGAUCAGCAACCUCAACCAUUUAUACAGACACAGGUAUUGAAUUUAUAAUCAUAUAUUUCUCUCUCCUUGUUUACUUUGCGAGUGCCGAGUAUAAAUUAUAUGGAGCUGGGAUUAGGUGGGUGUUCACACCUACAAAGUCUGUUACAUGGAGUUGAAAAGGGGGUGGGGGUAAGAAUGAUAAUUUUAUGGAACCAUGAUGAAUGUAAUUCCAAUCUAGGAAGCGCUUAAGAAAGUGAGAAAUUAUGACUAUUUCACAUUCAUAAAGGGUUAAUGAUUGACUAAACACUUACUCAUUAUGGUAACAUUUAUUUCCUGAAAACAGUGUUACUAGCAAUUUUUGUUUUCUUCUACUUUACAAGUGUUGUCAGUGACAGUCAGUUUCUUUGACAGGAUGUGCACAUUAAAUCUCAGGAUUUGGAUGAAACUGAGAUGAUGCAACAGCCUUCCCCCAAUUCAUGUGCUCAGAUUGACUCGCUCAUGCAGAAUUUAUAAGUUGAUGAAGACUAGCUUGUUGAGCUUCUGUUUGUAACAUGAAUCAGCUAGUUGGGGAAUGCAUGUCUUUAUUUGGACAAACCAGACAAUCUCAUACUUGUAAAUUCAUCAUUGCAUUCGAUAUCUAUUGUUGUGAGUGGUGAUGCUUCAGUAUUUGAUCGCAUCGUAUUUUAGCUAGCAAUAUAUUGAAUCCUUAUGCAUGUCUUGAAUAUGCUGUUGUGAGUAUAGUAGUGUCAGUCACACCCUAGUAGAAAAGGGGAAAAGUCAAUCUUGUUUGUUUUAGUGUUUGAGAAUGCCGAUUUUGCUAACUUAAAAUGUUUAAGUUGAAGCCAUGUUGCUUUUCAGUAUUUUAAAUGAUAAAUGAUUGCAAAGAUAAGUCUUUCCAUCUCCCUCCUAGCUAUUUAUGACAUUUCCUCUCUUAUUGGGGAAUGCAUGUUUUGUUCUUGGAGCUGCAACUUUUUCUUUUUUCGAGACUGGAAUAUCCAUCACUGGCCAUGGUGACUAAUUCCUUCGCUGUGGGUGCUCCAUUGUGACCGAAGCAAAGUUAACGAUUUAAUCAAGAGAAGAUUUCCAUCUCUGUUGUUGCUUCUAGCAGCUUGGUAUCUAAUUCACAACCAUCUUAUUUGCAACAAAGAGCUUGCCACCCUUUAGGACAUUACACGGAACAAUCUUACACAACUCAAGAUCCCAACUCAUCCUUGGGAAGGUUACUGUGGAUUGCUUCAGUCACAAGAGGGAUGGUUGAUGUUCCAAGAUUAUGUUCCACCACAUAACAACAUAGCUUAUAGUUUGUUUUGGAUUUUCAAUCCAGUUUCUGGUGAGAAGUAUAAGCUCCCACCACUACCAUAUACUCCAAUCACUGCUCCUUGUAUGAGAGUUGCGUUCUCUUCUGCACUUGAUUCUGAAAACUUCUUGGGGGUGAUAUGGUCUCUUAAUGAAGAUGAUUCGAUCCCGCGACUAAGUUUUUGCAGGCUCAGUGACGAGUCAUGGACUCGGAUUGAAACAAAUAAAACUCAUUUUAAGGAUAUAAUGCGUUUUGAAAGCGAAUUGUAUGCCGUGAAUGCACAUUCUGUGACCAUUUUCAAUCUCAAAUAUCUGAAUGCCAUUACAUCUCAAAGGUUAAUAGUGCAGUUACCAAAGCUUGAUGAGCCUAUAUGUAGGUUGGCAAGAGAUCCUACACAUGGGGACCUGGUGCACCGGUAACUCAUUGGUAUCAGUUGCGUUGUGUUCUCGAGCAGCCAAUUUAUGUCAUGGCAGGACAAGAAAUUACUGGCAGGCUGCACUUGAUUGCCCACAAUGCACAGAGUUAUACAAUCUAUUUAACUUUGUCAGGUUGGUAAAUUUCUUUUUUCUUUUCUUUCCUUUCUUCUAUGUAUGCUAUUCUUGCACAUUUAGUGGA
rnacentral:lncRNA from 1 species